AUUGAACGCUGGCGGCAGGCCUAACACAUGCAAGUCGAGCGAGCGGCGGACGGGUGAGUAAUGUCUGGGAAACUGCCUGAUGGAGGGGGAUAACUACUGGAAACGGUAGCUAAUACCGCAUACCAUCAGAUGUGCCCAGAUGGGAUUAGCUAGUAGGUGGGGUAACGGCUCACCUAGGCGACGAUCCCUAGCUGGGCUGAGAGGAUGACCAGCAACACUGGAAUUGAGACAAGACCAAGACUCCGACUGGAGGAAGCAGUGGGGAAGAUUGCACAAUGGGCGCAAGCUGGAUGCAGCCAUGCCGCGUGUUGGAAUAAGGCCUUCGGGUUGGAAAGCACUUUCAGCGGGGAGGCGUUACCCGCAGAAGAAGCACCGGCUAACUCCGUGCCAGCAGCCGCGGGAAUUC
rnacentral:rRNA from 1 species